UUCUCACUUUCGAAAACUUUCUGGGAAUCCUCCUGGAUGAUUUGCUGACUACUAAAAGUCUCUGCAAACAAAUUGCAGAACACGAGAAGAAAAUCAUAUGAUCAUCUGGCCUUUCUUUCACUUCCACUGGCGCAUAUUCAGGUAUUCAACGUGAGUUAACUCCUGGAAUCCUCCCAACCUUGCAGUCAAGGUGUUAUGGUCCUGAUUUUGUGAAAAGGAAAUCGAAGCAGAGAGAGCUGUCUCUGAAUGAGAAGAAAGUGCCAUGAGAAGAAUAGUAAAUGAACACUUACUAUGUUCGAGACAAUCCAAAAGAUACAAAGAUGAGUUAAGACUCAAUGCCUGUCAAGAAAGAAGAUUACAGUGGGAGAAAAGGGGACAAUGUUUAGCAUAAUGCAUAAGAAGGACCACAAAAGGCAAGUGU